GGGUGGUGUUAAUGUGAAUGUGGAGAAAUUCAAAUGUGAUUGGAGUACUGUAAAUGUGCGCUUAAUGGUUAAUCACAGAAUCAGUGGGCCUAAAACCUGUUUCCUUGCUUUAUGAUUCCAUGAGUGGCUCGAGAUAAUUGGGAAAACAUUGGAACAAUUAUGUUUGGACCAUCAUGAGGUGCUGCAGUUGGCAUCUUGGGUGGUGGAGUGAGGGUGAGAGUGAUGGCUGGAGUUGGACCUAUUAAAGAGUUGCCGGGGGAAUUGUUAUGAGGUAGAUGUUUCUGUGUUGAAGUCGAUGUAUCUGAAGCUGAUUCACAAGGCUAGAUGUUAAAUGUUCAUGCUCUGUUAGGAAGCUUUGAUUUUGUGUCAACAUGUCCUUGCUGUGGACCACAUGAAUAUGAACAAAUACUCAUGUAGGAAUAGGAAAAGUGUUUGAAAGCAAUUGCAGGUUUCAGAUUUGGAAGAACAAUUGUGGACUGUAAUCUACUUUACAUAUCCAAUUUUACAUAACCAAAAUGCUAUAAAAUCUAAUUGCUGUCACGCUAUCGAUUUUAUUCUUGGAUAUUGAAUCAACACAACUCUAAGAAUUAAUAUUUAGGAAAAAAGAGAAAAUUUGAAUUUGUGAGGUAAAAGUAUAUAUUAUACUACCAAACAUUAAAUUAUAUAACAUUUUUUGUGAAAUUUGAUGUCUUCACUGCAAUCUGUUGCCAAUAUGGGGCAGUGAAGUGAAAUUGCUGACAAAUGGACAUAUUCAGCUCUGCAGACUUAUUUAGCCAAAAGUGAAACAGUGAUUGAAGUGUAGUUUAACAUUUCCACCAAAUAAAUUUGGAAUAUUGUGUUGUAUCAGGUACCUGGGAUAUAUACAAAGAUUUGAUCUCAUGCUGAUACAAAUAGUCAUCUGAAGUUACAUAGUAUAAAACGGCACACUAACUGGCUAAAUUAUUUUUUUCUUCUUCAUCCCUCGUUCCCAUUCUUCUAGUGCGGGCCUGACCCUAUAGUAUAGUUAGACUUGCUGUUGAAACCAGAUUUAGUGUCUUGCAUUGUGGGAUAUGGAUCAACUGGAAAGUUGGGUGGUAUGUGACAGAUGGACUUUAAUUCAGACAAGCGUGAGGAUCAUACACUCGAAGGGAUCAACUUCAAUGCAGAGUAAAUAAAAGGGAGUUAAGGACAGGGCUGGAUUAAGCUAGUGUGGGGCCUGGAUCAUAUGUUAUAAAGGGGCCCUAAAUUUAGAAACAAAAUGCACAUAAGUAUUAAGACAUAAAUUAUUUACUUGCAUAGUAAACUAAUUUAAUUUUUUUCAUUUCCUCUACAGCCAGAUAAUACGACAAAUAUCUGACACUUCAGUAAUAGUAUUACGUAAAUUUUUGAAAAUGAGCAUUCUGCACUGCAGCUGGUAACCAUGAAUGACAGACCCCGGCCGGUGUUGCAGCCUUGACCCGAAGUGCAGCUCCCAAAUUCCGGCCUCAGCCAAUGAGAGCAUGCUUCUCCCAGCGGUACUCACUGAUUGGCUGGACGUGUGUCUGAGGACGGGCUGCUACCGGGAGCUGAAGCUGUCAGUCUCAGUUUGUUCUCAGAGUCGAAGGAAGUUCCCCGAAACUCAAAGUGCAAAGUAAAUUUUAUUGUCAGAAUGAAACUGGGUUCACAGCUUUUAGGAAGUGAACUCAAUCCACAGUACAUUGUCAAAGAGCAGAAGACUGUUGGCUAAAGUCACUUAUUUAAGUGUAACUGAAUCGUCUACCCAAAACUCACUGAAACAGUAGUGAGAACAUGGUGAGAAUGCCAAUAUCACCAGACUGCGGUUUGCAAGCAUUUAGUGUGGGCGGCGCCCGUAGGAUAUGCUACAUUUGCUACUCGACUGGUCAAUGAACACUGAGGCUGUCUACAAGAAGGUUCAGAGCCGUCUCUACUUUCUGAAGAGACUGAGGUCCUUUAACAUCUGUCGGACGAUGCUGAGGAUGUUCUACGUGGCUGUGGUGGCCAGUGCUAUCAUAUUUGUUGUUGUGUGCUGGCGCAGCAGGCUGAGGGUAACAGACACCAACAGACUCAACGAACUCAUUUGUAAGGCCAGUGAUGUUGUGGGGGUGGAAUUGGACUCUCUGAUGGUGGUGUCUGAAAAGAGGAUGCUGUCCAAGUUGCAUACCAUCUUGGACAAUGUCUCCAAUCAACUCCAUAAUGUACUGGUUAGGCACAGGAUUAUAUUCAGCCAGAGACUCAUUCCACCGAGAUGCAACACUGAGCGUCAUAGGAAGUCAUUCCUUCCUGUAACCAUCAAACUUUACAACCCCUCCCUCGGAGUGUCAGACACCCUGAGCCAAUAGUCUGGUCCUGGACUUAUUUCCACUUGGGAUAAUUUACCGAUUAUUAUUUUAUUAUUUAUGAUUUAUAUUGCUAUAUUUCUACUCUAUUCUUGGUUGGUGCAACUGUUAUGAAACCCAAUUUCCCUCGGGAUCAAUAAAGUAUCUCUGCCUGUC